rnacentral:rRNA from 1 species
UACGUAGGGGGCAAGCGUUGUCCGGAAUUAUUGGGCGUAAAGAGCGCGUAGGCGGUCCGGUAAGUCGGCUGUGAAAGUCAAGGGCUCAACCCUUGAAAGCCGGCCGAUACUGUCGGACUAGAGUCCGGAAGAGGCGAGUGGAAUUCCCGGUGUAGCGGUGAAAUGCGUAGAGAUGGGGGAGAACACUCGUGGCGAAGGCGGCCAGCUAGACCAGUUCUGACACUGAGGCGCGACAGCGUGGGGAGCAAACAGG